AGAGUUUGAUCCUGGCUCAGAACGUACGCUGGCGGCACGCCUAACACAUGCAAGUCGAACGAAGUAGCAAUACUUAGUGGCAGACGGGUGAGUAACAUGUAGGUAUCUGCCCUUUGGCCUGGAAUAACACGAGGAAACUUGUGCUAAUACCGGAUAAGUCUUUACGGAGAAAGCUUAAUGCACCAUUGGAUGAGCCUGCACUUGAUUAGUUUGUUGGUGGGGUAAUGGCCUACCAAGACUGUGAUCAAUAGCUGAUUUGAGAGGAUGAUCAGCCACAUUGGGACUGAGACACGGCCCAAACUCCUACGGGAGGCAGCAGUGGGGAAUCUUGCACAAUGGAGGAAACUCUGAUGCAGCGAUGCCGCGUGAGUGAAGAAGGCCUUUGGGUUGUAAAGCUCUUUCGUCGGGGAAGAAAAUGACUGUACCCGAAUAAGAAGGUCCGGCUAACUUCGUGCCAGUAGCCGCGGUAAUACGAAGGGACCUAGCGUAGUUCGGAAUUACUGGGCUUAAAGAGUUCGUAGGUGGUUGAAAAAGUUGGUGGUGAAAUCCCAGAGCUUAACUCUGGAACUGCCAUCAAAACUUUUCAGCUAGAGUAUGAUAGAGGAAAGCAGAAUUUCUAGUGUAGAGGUGAAAUUCGUAGAUAUUAGAAAGAAUACCAAUUGCGAAGGCAGCUUUCUGGAUCAUUACUGACACUGAGGAACGAAAGCAUGGGUAGCGAAGAGGAUUAGAUACCCUCGUAGUCCAUGCCGUAAACGAUGUGUGUUAGACGUUGGAAAUUAUUUUCAGUGUCGCAGCGAAAGCGAUAAACACACCGCCUGGGGAGUACGACCGCAAGGUUAAAACUCAAAUGAAUUGACGGGGACCCGCACAAGUAGUGGAGCAUGUGGUUUAAUUCGAAGAUACGCGCAGAACCUUACCAACACUUGACAUGUUCGUCGCGACUCUAAGAGAUUAGAGUUUUCGGUUCGGCCGGACGAAACACAGGUGCUGCAUGGCUGUCGUCAGCUUGUGUCGUGAGAUGUUGGGUUAAGUCCCGCAACGAGCGCAACCCUCACUUUUGGUUGCCAUCAUUUAGUUGGGCACUCUGAAAGAACUGCCAGUGAUAAGCUGGGGGAAGGUGGGGAUGACGUCAAGUCCUCAUGGCCCUUACGUGUUGGGCUACACACGUGCUACAAUGGUAUCUACAACAGGAAGCAAAACUGCGAAGUUAAGCAAAUCCUUAAAAGAUACCUCAGUUCGGAUUGCACUCUGCAACUCGAGUGCAUGAAGCUGGAAUUACUAGUAAUCGUGGAUCAGCGUGCCACGGUGAAUGCGUUCCCGGGUCUUGUACACACCGCCCGUCACACCAUGGGAGUUGGUUCUACCUUAAGGCAAGGUUUCAAACCCUUGACCACGGUAUAGUCAGCGACUGGGGUGAAGUCGUAACAAGGUAACC
rnacentral:rRNA from 1 species